CCUACAGGAGGCAGCAGUGGGGAAUAUUGCACAAUGGGCGGAAGCCUGAUGCAGCGACGCCGCGUGAGGGACGAAGGCCUUCGGGUUGUAAACCUCUUUCAGCAGGGACGAAGCGUGAGUGACGGUACCUGCAGAAGAAGCACCGGCUAACUACGUGCCAGCAGCCGCGGUAAUACGUAGGGUGCGAGCGUUGUCCGGAAUUACUGGGCGUAAAGAGUUCGUAGGCGGUUUGUCGCGUCGUUUGUGAAAACCCGGGGCUCAACUUCGGGCUUGCAGGCGAUACGGGCAGACUUGAGUGUUUCAGGGGAGACUGGAAUUCCUGGUGUAGCGGUGAAAUGCGCAGAUAUCAGGAGGAACACCGGUGGCGAAGGCGGGUCUCUGGGAAACAACUGACGCUGAGGAACGAAAGCGUGGGUAGCAAACAGGAUUAGAUACCCUGGUAGUCCACGCCGUAAACGGUGGGCGCUAGGUGUGGGUUCCUUCCACGGGAUCUGUGCCGUAGCUAACGCAUUAAGCGCCCCGCCUGGGGAGUACGGCCGCAAGGCUAAAACUCAAAUGAAUUGACGG
rnacentral:rRNA from 1 species